UUAGUACCACAUUACCCAUGAUGCAUCUGUUCAUUUUGUAGUUCUAAUUUUACGUAGCUGAAUAAGUUGUGUUUUCCAUGCUUCUGGGUGGUUCGGUGGCACAAAAUAGCAUCCACCAUUAAUCCUACUUCAAUCCAGUGUGUAUGAAACCUGUGUGCGUUCUUUACGAUAUAACCACACAUCCAUAUACAUAUCCCUAAGAAAACCAAAUAUAAACCUCAUCAUCUGUACCAUCAUCUCCAAUGUACCUGCUUCUAUUCCAUUAAUAAACCUUUUGAGCUGCA